CAAAAGUUAGUUAAAUGAUAAUAUAGGUUUUGGGGAUUUAAGUUAAAUUAGUUUACUUUUGA
rnacentral:tRNA from 1 species